rnacentral:rRNA from 1 species
AUUGAACGCUGGCGGCAUGCCUUACACAUGCAAGUCGAACGGUAACGCGGGGCAACCUGGCGACGAGUGGCGAACGGGUGAGUAAUGUAUCGGAACGUGCCCAGUUGUGGGGGAUAACUGCUCGAAAGAGCAGCUAAUACCGCAUACGACCUGAGGGUGAAAGCGGGGGAUCGCAAGACCUCGCGCAAUGGGACCGGCCGAUAUCAGAUUAGGUAGUUGGUGGGGUAAAGGCUCACCAAGCCGACGAUCUGUAGCUGGUCUGAGAGGACGACCAGCCACACUGGGACUGAGACACGGCCCAGACUCCUACGGGAGGCAGCAGUGGGGAAUUUUGGACAAUGGACGCAAGUCUGAUCCAGCCAUGCCGCGUGCGGGAAGAAGGCCUUCGGGUUGUAAACCGCUUUUGUCAGGGAAGAAAAGGCUCCUUCUAAUAUAGGGGGCUCAUGACGGUACCUGAAGAAUAAGCACCGGCUAACUACGUGCCAGCCGCCGCAGUAA